ACCAGGAUGGCCGAGUGGUGAAGGCGUUGGUCUUAAGUUCCAAUGUACGAAUGUACGCGUGGGUUCGAACCCCACUCCAGGUA
rfam:Nematostella vectensis strain CH2 x CH6 NEMVEscaffold_350_Cont24649, whole genome shotgun sequence.